AUGGAAUGGGGGCGGGGAAGCUGCCGCGCACGCAGGCACCUCCAUGGACUUAGAAUGACUACCGGGUCUUUAUUCACAGACAGUAAACGUGAGCCAAGGGCCCACCUUAGAAGCGCUCGGAAGGCUGCGGUGCCGGCGGGACGGCCCGGCACCCAGCGGCCCCACGUCCCCAGCCACUCAGGGCCGCACCUGCUGGGGCCCCAGGGUCAAGCUGCCUCCUUAGCAAAGCACGCAGCUGCCCUGCUCCGAGAGCUUCCCUCGGGCCAGGGCCGCGGCCAAGCCCACCCUGGGUGCAGAGGGGAGCCCCUCGCCCAGGCGUGCCGGCUGCGGCCUGAGGUCUCGGUAACCACACAGCUGGGUCCAGGGGGCCUCAGUGAACUGCACACUCCCCUCCCCACCCCCACCCCCGAAACUCUCCUGCGGUUUGAACUCCCGGUCCCACCCGGGCCUCACACCUGUCGCACUUCCUUUCCCAUCAAGCUCUGCAGGUGGGGCCCUGCGGUUUCUCUGCCGACUUCCUCUCCCCCUCAGAAACUAGGGCUCUGGGGAGGUGCAGGGGCACGAGGCUCCCCUGGCUCCCCUGGCUGUGACAUUCGAGGCCGGUGCCACCUGGCCUCCGCCCCCGGCAGGGUCCAGCCACUGACGUACCCUGCCUGGAGGGCCAGCACCCCCACACCCUGGCCCCCAGGGCACCCUCUGCGCACUCCCGUGGGCCCUGGCGGGGGGCUGCGGCUCUCAGGGACAGUGCAUGUCUGUGUGCUGUGGGUGGAAUCAGCCCCCGGCACCCCUCAGCGCCCCCACAAAUGGCCACCCGGUGGCCUGGCCCUGGCCCAACCCUGCCAGCAACUCAGCUCGGGGGUGUGGGUCAGUGCAUCUGGAAGACACCCCGUUACUAGGGCCCCGCCUCGGGGGACCCCUUCCCUGGACCGGGUGCCACAGGGGGUGCACUUGGGUCUUAGACUCAAGCCCUGCGCUCAGACCCCGGUUCUGCCAUUGGCCGGGGCCUGGACUUGA
rnacentral:lncRNA from 1 species